AACAAAAACGAAAUACUUCCGUUCGCCCGUCCCCUGCGCAGCGUCACUCCCCAUUUUCCGUUCGUGCCCUGUGCAGCGACGCUCUCCCUUUUCCGGCGUCUCUCACAAGUUCACCACCGUUGAGCGAUUCGGCGCCUCCCACUCGGUUGACUCUCCGGCGCCGACAACUGCUGCUCCUUCACCGGCUGAAGCUUCUGGUUCGAGGGAAACUAUUUUCUAGUGUGGCUAGACGGGACCAUGAGGGGCGUCGUCUUUUUCCACAUAGCCUGACCUUUUCGUCCUGAUUUAGUAGGGAGGCUUCUGUUGAUUGAUCUUGGAACCUGUCAAGAGUAACAAUGUUUUCACUCUACCCAGUAGAUGAAUGGCUCACCAUGAGUUGCUUCUUUUUUACGAGCCUCUAAUUUUUCCUUUAGGAGAAUCAUUUAUAGUUUUUAUCUUUAGCGGGCUAUAGAUGACUUUUUAUGUACUUUCAAAUCUACUAGCAAUUAAGAGGAAGGUUAUGAUGUGUGCCUUAUAUGGGGGAACAUGCAUUGGAUUAUGAUGUGAUAGACAAAUUGUUGUAAUCAUGGAUGAAAUUGCAUUGCCUUUCUCCAGUCUAUUUGUACUAAUGUUCUAAGAGCUUGGAGUUAGUUUUGCUACAUAGUGAAGAGUCGGGUUCACCACUUCGUCUUCUGUUUGUCUCCCCCUUGAUAUAUCAAAAGCAUGUAGAAUUUCUGCUGGUGCAUAUAGGAAAGAGGACAUAGAGUUUUCUAUUUGCUAUAACCUUGGCUGCUUAGUGCUUGGAUGUUCUGCAAAUUACACAUCUGAAAAGAGCAUCUAAUGGCAGGUGGUAUCUGAUGAUUGGCACGUAAUUUGUUGGAGCAUGUGCAUUUGCAUGUCGAGGGAAGCAAGAUUGAUCUAUUCAGUAUGAACUAGUUAUGGGGGAUGCCGCCAGUUCUGGAUUCUUGUGCAAGUUGAUGAGUGUUGUCUGAUGCGGCAUAGAUUUAGUUCAUUUAUUGGUCUUGUGAAGUGGAUUGAUCUGUAAAGGAGCACAUUAGAUGAAAUAAAUACUUGACAAUGGAGCUGAAAGUGUUAAAGGCUAAUAGUGCACAUCUGUCUGUCAUAUCUUAUGCUAUAAGAAGUUGGAAAAAGGGUAAAGAUGGCUAUGUAUGAUGCUGAAGAAUUACAAGUUACUAGAAUGAUUUGUAGAUAAUUAGAUAAGGCUAAAAUUCAAUAAGCAGUGCAUAACCUUACGUAUAGUUUUGAUGAUACAUCAAAACCAGGCCAAAGUGGCGAGUCAAUUGUCUUUUGGUGCUUGCCAUGCACAAAUACUGAAACGGCCCAUGCCUGCAUAGGGAGUUCACUCAUUCCAGUUAUGCUUAUGGAUUAUGGCAUCUUCUUUCUCAUAUCAAUUUUCUAUUCAUUAUUCCGGCCUUUAAAUCCUUUUUUUUUUCGGGGGUGAGUCUAGGUAGAUCGAGGUGUUACUCUGAGUGAGGCUCUUUGUCAUGACAAAUGGCUUGAAAAUAAGGGCAUAAAGAACACAAAUUUCGCUGUUGUUACCUGGUCCAACUGGGAUUGCCGGGUGAUGUUGGAAUUCGAGUGUUGAUAUAAGAAAAUUCGAAAACCUUCUUACUUCAACAGAUGGAUUAACCUAAAAGUCUCAUUCCAGGAAGUUUUCGGAGGUCUAAGAUGUAAUCUUAAGGAGGCGGUUGAGAUGGCUGGCUUGACCUGGAUCAGGCGUGCUCAUUGUGGUUUAGAUGAUGCAAAAAACACAGCUCGCUUGCUUAUGGUUCUUUUGUGCAGGGGAAUCAGAUUUUCCAUCACCAACUCUCUAACAUUGUAUGACAAUGACCAUACUCUAAUAUCAAAGCACUCGCCUCCCCAUCAGCCGCACACGCAGAAGGAUUUGCGGGGUCCUCAAUCACAGUAUAAUCCUUAUUGUUUCUGUGGCAUCAAGAGUAGCGUAGGCUUUGUUCGGAACCCAAGUAUAAAGCAAGGGAACUUCUUCUUUUGGUGUGGCAAUUGGGCUGCUGCGAGAGGUUGCGGAUGCUGUUAUUUUCAGUGGGUGGCUUCUUGACUGGAUGUAACUUUCCUGGUUGACAUCUUCGGCUUUCUUAGGUGCUCCCUAUCACAUUAGGUAGGAGCCGCAUCGGGAGCUUCCAUUUAAAUUAGUUGAAUGACUUUAUGAUAGUUUUUUUUUUUUUUUUUUUUAACUUGAUUGAAAGAAAAACAAAUUGAGUCGGCACACUACAGUUGAAAGAUUGCGAUACUGAUACAUAAGAAAACUGUCAUCUAUUGUUGAAGAACUCUUCUCUAUAAAGCUAACAUCUUGUUGACUUGUGAAAUUCAUUAAGGAGUUGGUACAACU